rnacentral:rRNA from 1 species
AUUGAACGCUGGCGGCAUGCCUUACACAUGCAAGUCGAACGGCAGCACGGGUGCUUGCACCUGGUGGCGAGUGGCGAACGGGUGAGUAAUACAUCGGAACGUACCUUAUCGUGGGGGAUAACGCAGCGAAAGCUGUGCUAAUACCGCAUACGCCCUGAGGGGGAAAGCGGGGGAUCGCAAGACCUCGCGCGAUUAGAGCGGCCGAUGCCUGAUUAGCUUGUUGGUGGGGUAAAAGCCCACCAAGGCGGCGAUCAGUAGCUGGUCUGAGAGGACGAUCAGCCACACUGGGACUGAGACACGGCCCAGACUCCUACGGGAGGCAGCAGUGGGGAAUUUUGGACAAUGGGGGCAACCCUGAUCCAGCAAUGCCGCGUGAGUGAAGAAGGCAUUCGGGUUGUAAAGCUCUUUUGUCAGGGAAGAAACACCGGCUCUAACACAGUCCGGGAAUGACGGUACCUGAAGAAUAAGCACCGGCUAACUACGUGCCAGCAGCCGCCGUAA